UGAGUGGACCAGCUCGCCGUAGUUGAACUCGGAGGACCCUCGCUCAUUCGGCUCGCUCAGCGUGAGGUUGAGGCGGACGGUGGGCUUCUUCUCCUCCCUCUGCGCGUCGCUACCUUUCUCGUUGCCGAACAGACCUCCGCCACCCCCUGACCCGACCGCACUCCCACCUCCAUCUUUCCCAAAAGUGAUGUCGACGGCCUCAUCUUCGCGGCGGCGUUUCUUGCUGGUCUCCGGGGUCGGCGGCGGGGUGGUGUUGAGGGUGGAAAUGGUGACGAACGGCACUUUCCUCGGCUCUGCCAUUUGACGCUCUCCUUCCGACGUCCGGGCACACAAAACCUGGAGCGCCACGCUCCUCUCAGCCGCCAGUGGCAGGGGAGCUAAACUGGAGAUGGUCGACAAGUAAGAGCUAGCUAGUUGCUCAGCUAGUUAGCUUCCUCGGAAUGAGUGCUGCGGGCAACACAAUGACUUUUAUCGUUCCUCGGCCCGUUUUAAUCCAUACAGUAUUAUCCCUGGAACAGCCCCCGUCGCCUACGAGUGACUUAAACUGCAGGAAAUCGCAGUUUUGACAGCUUCCAUGAAAUUGGUGGUUAGCUACCGCAAGGAGGAUUCUGAAGUAGCCAUCUUGAUCAUUAUUAUCAUUAUUCAGAGGCUGGGCGUGCAUAUGAAAAGAAAGCGGAAGGCAGAGAGGAAGGGGAACCGCGUUUGUCCAAUGGCAGCGCAUAAACACGCCCACCUGACAGACUAGCGCGAACGUGGAGGAGGAUUAUCUAAUAUGGACUGUACAUCAUUAAAAUACUUCAAUUUCAGAACUGCUGACACACUCCAGCCACAUGAGGUCUAGCAUUGCCUGGAACCCAGGCCCAACUACACCAGCAUAUGGACUCACAAGGGGUCUGAGGAUCUCAUCUCGGUACCUAAUGGCAGUCAGGCUACCUCUGGCGAGCACAUGGAGGGCUGUUCAGCCCCACAAAGAAAUGCCACCCCAAACCGUUACUGACCCACUGCCAAACCGGUCAUGCUGGAGGAUGUUGCAGGCAGCAGAAUGUUCUCCAUCGCGUCUCCAGACACUGUCACGUCUGUCAUAAUGUGCUCAAUGUGAACCUGCAUUCAUCUGUGAAGAGCACAGGGCUCCAGUGGCAAAGUUCCCAAUCUUGGUGUUCUCUGGCAAAUGCCAAACGUCCUGCACGGUGUUGGGCCGUAAGUACAAUCCCCACCUGUGGACAUUGGGCCUUCAUGCCACCCUCAUGGAGUCUGUUUCUGACCAUUUGAGCAGACACAUGCACAUUUGUGGCCGGCUGGAGGUCAUUUUGCAGGAGGUAUCAGUCCUGCUGCUGGGUUGUUGCUUUCCUAUGGCCUCCUGUAGCUUGAUUUCAAAGAAACAGGCUGUGUUUUGCCUUAUAUGCAUCUGCAGGUGUGCCACAAAUUUACUCACAUGGACUCUACUAACCUAUCAGAAGCUUCUUCAGCUCAGAAUGGAAUCGUCUGGAGUUUUCUAAUUAACUAACAAUAAAUGUAGUGUAUAUGUACUCCUAAAUUUGAUGAAAGUGAUAAAAAAAGAGACAGGUCUGUCGCUCUUUAUUCUGACA